AAACAUACCUUACCAAAAUAAUACCUAUAAAAAAGUUUCCUUUUUUAACGAAAUAAUACCUUAAAAAAUAAAAAAAUUAAAAUCUAAAACAAAUAAAAUAACAUAAAAAAAUAACAUUUAUAACAAAAAAGCCACUAAAUUUAAAAAAAUACCUUUUUUGAUUUUUUUAAACACUAAACCCUUAUAAGUUAUAACCCCCAAAUGCAACCCCUUAAUUUUUUUUCAAACUCUAAACACAACCCCAAAUUAAAUCCCUUUUUCUUCCUAUUCCCAAAUUAAAUCCCUUUUUCUUCCCUUUCUCUUUUCCUUCCCUCUCUCUUUUCUUUCUUUUCUAUUUUUUUCCUUCUCCACUCUUACUUUUUCUGCUUCUAUUUUUUUUCUCUCUUUUUUCCCUUCCUUCCCUUCCCAUUCUCUUCUUCUUCUUCUUCUUCUCUUUUUUUAAAUUGUUUUUUUUUCUUUCAGAUCACAAAAUAGACUGGGGACCAUUAUAAGGUCCCCAAAACAUAAGUCACGAGACCAGUGAUGGUCCCGUCCCAUCGCUGAAGAAG
rnacentral:lncRNA from 1 species